GACGUAGGGCGCGAGCGUUGUCCGGAUUUAUUGGGCGUAAAGAGCUCGUAGGCGGCUUGUUGCGUCGACUGUGAAAACCCGCGGCUUAACCGCGGGCUUGCAGUUGAUACGGGCAGGCUAGAGUUCGGUAGGGGAGACUGGAAUUCCUGGUGUAGCGGUGAAAUGCGCAGAUAUCAGGAGGAACACCGGUGGCGAAGGCGGGUCUCUGGGUAGUAACUGACGCUGAGGAACGAAAGCGUGGGUAGCGAACAGG
rnacentral:rRNA from 1 species